GCUGGGUGCAGUGGGGCGUGCCUGUAGUCUCAGCUACUCAGGAGGCUGAGGCUGGAGGAUUGCUUAAGUCCAGGAGUUCUGGGCUGUAGUGCACUAUGCCGAUUGGGUGUCCACACUAAGUUCAGCAACAAUAUGGUGACCUCCUAGGAGCGGGGGACCGCCAGGUUGCCUAAGGAGGGGUGAACCAGCCCAGGUCAGAAACAGAGCAGGUCAAAACUCCCGUGCCGAUCAGUAGUGGGAUCACACCUGUGAAUGGCCACUGCACUCCAGCCUGGGCAACAUAGGGAGACCCCAUUUCUA
ensembl:misc_RNA Metazoa_SRP Metazoan signal recognition particle RNA